GUUUUUCACUACGUCUCUAUCCUGUGACACAUUGAGCCAUGGUAACAGUCAACUCUCACAAUAUUCUUAUUUAUCUGAUGAUGAUCGAUUUAUGUAUAAAGCAGAGGUGAAGAGUAUUACUGAAAUUUCUGCCCUUACAUCAACUGAGGUAUAUUGUAGAUUUACUCUCUCCAUUCAUUAUUACAGGAUGGUACUAAGGUAUAUUUUCCCUGUUUUUUUUACAGGAAAUAACAUGUGUAACUGUUGGGACAACAACAAUGUUUGUUAUUGGCAAGCAAGGAUGGUACUAUGAUCGG
rnacentral:lncRNA from 1 species